rnacentral:rRNA from 1 species
GAUGAACGCUGGCGGCGUGCCUAAUACAUGCAAGUCGAGCGAACAGACGAGGAGCUUGCUCCUCUGACGUUAGCGGCGGACGGGUGAGUAACACGUGGAUAACCUACCUAUAAGACUGGGAUAACUUCGGGAAACCGGAGCUAAUACCGGAUAAUAUAUUGAACCGCAUGGUUCAAUAGUGAAAGACGGUUUUGCUGUCACUUAUAGAUGGAUCCGCGCCGCAUUAGCUAGUUGGUAAGGUAACGGCUUACCAAGGCGACGAUGCGUAGCCGACCUGAGAGAGUGAUCGGCCACACUGGAACUGAGACACGGUCCAGACUCCUACGGGAGGCAGCAGUAGGGAAUCUGCCGCAAUGGGCGAAAGCCUGACGGAGCAACGCCGCGUGAGUGAUGAAGGUCUUCGGAUCGUAAAACUCUGUUAUUAGGGAAGAACAAAUGUGUAAGGAACUAUACACGUCUUGACGGUACCUAAUCAGAAAGCCACGGCUAACUACGUG